UUGCUACAGGCUUAACACAUGCAAGUCGAGGGGCAGCAUGGUCUUAGCUUGCUAAGGCCGAUGGCGACCGGCGCACGGGUGAGUAACGCGUAUCCAACCUGCCUUACACUCUUGGACAGCCUUCUGAAAGGGAGAUUAAUACAAGAUGUUAUCAUGAGUAAGCAUUUUCGCAUGAUUAAAGGUUUACCGGUGUAAGAUGGGGAUGCGUUCCAUUAGAUAGUAGGCGGGGUAACGGCCCACCUAGUCUUCGAUGGAUAGGGGUUCUGAGAGGAAGGUCCCCCACAUUGGAACUGAGACACGGUCCAAACUCCUACGGGAGGCAGCAGUGAGGAAUAUUGGUCAAUGGGCGAGAGCCUGAACCAGCCAAGUAGCGUGAAGGAUGACUGCCCUAUGGGUUGUAAACUUCUUUUAUAAAGGAAUAAAGUCGGGUAUGGAUACCCGUUUGCAUGUACUUUAUGAAUAAGGAUCGGCUAACUCCGUGCCAGCAGCCGCGGUAAUACGGAGGAUCCGAGCGUUAUCCGGAUUUAUUGGGUUUAAAGGGAGCGUAGAUGGAUGUUUAAGUCAGUUGUGAAAGUUUGCGGCUCAACCGUAAAAUUGCAGUUGAUACUGGAUAUCUUGAGUGCAGUUGAGGCAGGCGGAAUUCGUGGUGUAGCGGUGAAAUGCUUAGAUAUCACGAAGAACUCCGAUUGCGAAGGCAGCCUGCUAAGCUGCAACUGACAUUGAGGCUCGAAAGUGUGGGUAUCAAACAGGAUUAGAUACCCUGGUAGUCCACACGGUAAACGAUGAAUACUCGCUGUUUGCGAUAUACAGCAAGCGGCCAAGCGAAAGCGUUAAGUAUUCCACCUGGGGAGUACGCCGGCAACGGUGAAACUCAAAGGAAUUGACGGGGGCCCGCACAAGCGGAGGAACAUGUGGUUUAAUUCGAUGAUACGCGAGGAACCUUACCCGGGCUUAAAUUGCAGAUGAAUUACGGUGAAAGCCGUAAGCCGCAAGGCAUCUGUGAAGGUGCUGCAUGGUUGUCGUCAGCUCGUGCCGUGAGGUGUCGGCUUAAGUGCCAUAACGAGCGCAACCCUUGUUGUCAGUUACUAACAGGUUCCGCUGAGGACUCUGACAAGACUGCCAUCGUAAGAUGUGAGGAAGGUGGGGAUGACGUCAAAUCAGCACGGCCCUUACGUCCGGGGCUACACACGUGUUACAAUGGGGGGUACAGAGGGCCGCUACCACGCGAGUGGAUGCCAAUCCCCAAAACCUCUCUCAGUUCGGACUGGAGUCUGCAACCCGACUCCACGAAGCUGGAUUCGCUAGUAAUCGCGCAUCAGCCACGGCGCGGUGAAUACGUUCCCGGGCCUUGUACACACCGCCCGUCAAGCCAUGGGAGCCGGGGGUACCUGAAGUGCGUAACCGCGAGGAGCGCCCUAGGGUAAAACUGGUGACUGGGGCU
rnacentral:rRNA from 1 species